GAUGAAGAACGUAGCGAAAUGCGAUAAGUAGUGUGAAUUGCAGAAUUCAGUGAAUCAUCGAAUCUUUGAACGCACAUUGCGCCCUUUGGUAUUCCAAAGGGCAUGCCUGUUCGAGCGUCAUUUGUACCCUCAAGCUUUGCUUGGUGUUGGGCGUCUUGUCUCUAGCUUUGCUGGAGACUCGCCUUAAAGUAAUUGGCAGCCGGCCUACUGGUUUCGGAGCGCAGCACAAGUCGCACUCUCUAUCAGCAAAGGUCUAGCAUCCAUUAAGCCUUUUUUUCAACUUUUGACCUCGGAUCAGGUAGGGAUACCCGCUGAACUUAAGCAUAUCAAUUAGCGGAGGA
rnacentral:misc_RNA from 1 species